GGGAGUAUCUGUAUGACUAAAUAUCUGAAUGAGGAAAUUCAGCAUUAUUAGUGCCAGAUGAUGGUAUAAUGGUGUGCACUUUUCUUCUAGUAAGACGUUGCGAUCCAUUAGAAAAUGUAAAUUUAAAUCUGUAUAUAGGCCCAGAUAGGAGUUUAUACAUUAAGCGAGUAACAUGACUUUGUUGUUAUGUGAAUGCGUGUAAACUAUUUGGUGUUCUUACAGAUGUCUGAUGGUAUUUUGAUUGAAUGUCGCAUACAAUUUUUUAUAAAUUGAUAUCUCUUGUGAAAAUAAUGGCUACAUUAUCCACAACGUUUUAAAUUUAAGAAACCCUCCGGAACCGUCUUGGAACCCGGACCAAGAAAUCCAACUUGGAUGCCAGUCCAUGGGAUUUUUAAAACCUAUAGGCCAAAUGAAAUUAACUUGGUAUAAUGGGAUUACCAAUGGGACUAUUUGGGCUAUUUUUCCCUCCCCGGGUAUCUUAAUGGAAGUACUGGAAUUUCCGUUGGCUGGACUAACAAAAUAUACCGUGAGCAUACCAGCUGGGACCCCAAAGAUGGUGAACUAUGCCUGAUCAGGUUGAAAUCCGGGGAAACCCUGAUGGAAGAACGUAACAAUUCUGAACUGGAAAUCGAUUGGCAGAAUUGGGUAAAGGGCGAAAGAACAAUCGAACCAUCUAGUAGUGUUCCCCUUCCGAA
rnacentral:rRNA from 1 species